AUGAAUGAUUUUCAUAAGGGCUGCGCUGAGUUAGCCAGGAUCAACAAAGCCUUCAUUGUGCUUCUUCCAAAAAAAGUUGGAGCUACGACCCCCGAUAACUUCAAGCCGGUUUCCCUGCAAAAUUGUGUCAUCAAGAUCAGCUCAAAGUGCCUGGCCACUAGAGCUCAACAUUUUAUCUCCUCAAUCAUUCACCAGGACCAGUCCGGUUUUAUUAAAGGGAGAGGUAUCAUUGAUAAUUUUUCCUAUGCCGCUGAUAUUGUUCAAACUUGCUUCAAACGCAAAAAAUCGGCUAUCGCUCUAAAACUAGACUUCCGCAAGGCUUUUGACUCCAUGUCUUGAGCGGCCUUGUCUGCCAUUAGGAGAGCUAAGGGCUUCCCGCGGGUGUGGUGUGAUUGGAUUCAUAAUCUUAAUCAGACUAGCCAGUCGGCUGUGCUCCUUAAUGGUAAACCUGGCCCAUGGAUCAACUGCAGACAAGGGCUUCGUCAAGGCGACUCGCUCUCUCCUUAUCUCUUCAUUAUUGUAGCCGAUGUGUUGCAACGCCUGAUCCUUCAGGCAUCCGCUAAUGUCCUUCUGUCUCACCCGAUCGAUCCAAGCAUUCCUUGCCCGGUUCUACAGUACGCUAACGACACCCUUAUCAUUCUGCAAGCUGACCAUGACCAACUUCAAACUCUAAAAUCUAUCCUUCUUGAUUUCUCAAAUACCAUGGGUCUGGUGAUUAAUUUCCACAAAAGAACUUUUGCUCCCAUUCAUGUUGAUCUGGAUCUCGCAUCUCAACUUGCAACUAGUUUUGGCUGCGCGGUUGCAUCGUUCCCUCAAUCCUACCUUGGCAUUCCCCUCUCCACUCACAAAUUAAGCCUAAAAGAUUUCUUCUUCAUUAUUGACAAGAUUGAUGGUUGUCUCGCGGGUUGGCGAGGUGUUCUUCUCACCCUAGCAGGCCGUGUUGUUUUGGUUAGGGCAGUGCUUCGAUCCUUACCAAUCUAUGUCAUGACCGCUUGA
rnacentral:rRNA from 1 species